rnacentral:tRNA from 1 species
GGCCCCGUCGUCUAGUGGUGAAGACCGGCGCCUUUCACGCGUCAAACGCGGGUUCGAUUCCCGCCGGGGCCA